rnacentral:rRNA from 1 species
UACGUAGGUGGCAAGCGUUGUCCGGAUUUACUGGGCGUAAAGGGCGUGCAGGCGGUCUGUUAAGUCUAGGGUGAAAGCUCCCGGCUCAACUGGGAGAGGUCCUUGGAUACUGGCGGACUUGAGGGAGGCAGAGGAGAAUAGAAUUCCCGGUGUAGUGGUGAUAUGCGUAGAUAUCGUAAGGAAGACCAGUGGCGAAGGCGGGUCUCUGGACAGUUCCUGACGCUGAGGCACGAAGGUCAGGGGAGCAAACGGG